rnacentral:rRNA from 1 species
GACGAACGCUGGCGGCGUGCCUAAUACAUGCAAGUAGAACGCUGAAGGAGGAGCUUGCUUCUCUGGAUGAGUUGCGAACGGGUGAGUAACGCGUAGGUAACCUGCCUGGUAGCGGGGGAUAACUAUUGGAAACGAUAGCUAAUACCGCAUAAUAGUAGAUGUUGCAUGACAUUUGCUUAAAAGGUGCAAUUGCAUCACUACCAGAUGGACCUGCGUUGUAUUAGCUAGUUGGUGGGGUAACGGCUCACCAAGGCGACGAUACAUAGCCGACCGGAGAGGGUGAACGGCCACACUGGGACUGAGACACGGCCCAGACUCCUACGGGAGGCAGCAGUAGGGAAUCUUCGGCAAUGGACGGAAGUCUGACCGAGCAACGCCGCGUGAGUGAAGAAGGUUUUCGGAUCGUAAAGCUCUGUUGUAAGAGAAGAACGAGUGUGAGAGUGGAAAGUUCACACUGUGACGGUAUCUUACCAGAAAGGGACGGCUAACUACGUG